UAGAUACUCCCUCCGUCAGAAAAUACAUGUUGCACAAACGGAUAAAAAUAAAUGUAUCUAGAGCUAAAAUACGUCUAAAUACAUCUAUUUCUUCAACAAGUAAUUUCGGACGAAGGGAGUACUAA
rfam:Triticum aestivum genome assembly, contig: Triticum_aestivum_CS42_TGACv1_scaffold_434770_5DL